rnacentral:rRNA from 1 species
UACGUAGGUGGCAAGCGUUGUCCGGAAUUAUUGGGCGUAAAGCGCGCGCAGGUGGUUCCUUAAGUCUGAUGUGAAAGCUCACGGCUCAACCGUGGAGGGUCAUUGGAAACUGGGGAACUUGGGUGCAGAAGAGGAAAGUGGAAUUCCAAGUGUAGCGGUGAAAUGCGUAGAGAUUUGGAGGAACACCAGUGGCGAAGGCGACUUUCUGGUCUGUAACUGACACUGAGGCGCGAAAGCGUGGGGAGCAAACAGG